GGCCUGGUAGCUCAGUUGGUAGAGCAGAGGAUUGAAAAUCCUUGUGUCGGCAGUUCAACUCUGCCCCGGGCCA
rnacentral:tRNA from 1 species